GAUGAACGCUGGCGGCGUGCCUAAUACAUGCAAGUCGAGCGAACGGACGCGGAGCUUGCUUUUCUCAUGUUUGCGGCGGACGUGUGAGUCACACGUGUAUCACCUACCUAUCAGACUGGGAUCACUUCGGGACACCGGAGCUAAUCCCGGAUAAUAUUUUGCACCGCAUGGUUCAAUAGUGAAAGACGGUCUUGCUGUCACUUCUCGCUGCAUCUGCGCUGCAUUAGCUAGUUGUUACGUUAACGGCUUACCAAGGCAACGAUGCGUAGCCGACCUCACAGGCGGAUAGGCGACACGGGAACGGGAACACGGUCCAGACGACUGCGGGAGGCAGCAGUAGGGAAUCUGCGGCAAUGGGCGAAAGCCUGACGGAGCAACGCGGCGUGAGAGAUGGAGGCGUUGGGAUCGUAAAACCGGGUUAUGAGGGAAGAACAUAUGUGUAAGGAAAUGAGCAGAUCGUGACGGUACCUAAUCAGAAAGCCACGGCUAACUACGUG
rnacentral:rRNA from 1 species